rnacentral:tRNA from 2 species
GGCCGGGUGGCAGAGUGGUUAUGCAGAGGACUGCAAAUCCUUGUAGGUCGGUUCAAUUCCGACCCCGGCCUCCA